AUGGACCUUGGUGAAUGACCGGGGGUGCAAGCCCGGUUCUGGGGUGCAGUGACCAGACAAUCCGUUGUGGGCCUUGGGCCCAAACGGCCACAGAAGAGUGGAGAGUCCGUGUACAACCUUCACGUAAGCUGAAAUUGAACAGGGGAAAAACGCUUAUUCAGAGAAGUUCUUGUGUCGCGUUUGGAUUCUUGGAUUCCGACGCCUUCAACAACCGUGUUCACAAGCUUCAGCACAAGCAAGAAGAAGUGAUCAACUCCAACAUGACAACACAUUCUCUUUCUCACGGCCUUGAGUUCAUCCAUUUUUGUGAUUCAAGAAUUCGAGAAUUCGCGGUGUUCCGUAAUGUUCCGCUCAUAACCAUACGCAAACGGAAAGAAAACAUCAUUGAGAUCGAAUCGGGAAAACUCACCGGAUUUAAGCUUGGAUUGCGGCACACUUUGGUCACUACGCGUGAUGGCGUUACCGCAUCGUCGACAGAGACGAUGGAGACGUUUUCGGAUUCGUCUGGCUUCCACGCUCCGAUAGGUGCGAUUUUGCUCGAUUUUCUUCUCCACAAUACUCUUCUACCUCUUCUUCAACUUCUCUGGAUUUUUCUGUUUCUGUUAUUUGUUUCUCUUGUUCUUAAAAUCCAUUAUGUUAUGGAGGUUUGUGGAAGUUGGUUGGAUUCGGUUAGGAACAUGAGGUUAAAGUUUUGUGUUCUGUUGGUGGUGGUUACGAGAGGUUGAGGAGUUUUUUCGGUUAUGGAUUCCGUUUUGAGGGUUGAGAGAGACGAAGAAGGAGAUGCUGAGGCCUAAAGGAAUUUGUGCGUGGUGAAGAAAAAAAUCCCUUGAACUGAAGCAUAACAAGAAUAUAUAUAGUGAUGAGAGAGUGAAUGGUUCUGUUGGAAGCUGAAUCCGAAUUCGGAUUCAUCUGGAUUUUAUGCAGAUUUUUAUCUGGAUUUUAUGCAGAUUUUUAUGCUGGGAUUGGAAUGGCUUUGUUCUGCAACUGGCUUGGUUCGCUGCAUAGUGUCGGCGUUUUGGAAGCUUUGCGUUUCAUUGCUAUUUGUUGCUUUCUAUCACAUGUACUUUGUGUUUGAGACGUACUUUUGGAAUGCAGCUUGUGUUUCCGUUAAAUGCUUGUGUAUGCGUUUUGUAGGUUGGAAGCGUUUGGAAGUGUUAGCAGUUGGUUUUCGUUUUCGCACUGUUCACGCCGUUUUGGAUUGGCGUUAGCUUGAAUUUGUAGCUUGGUGCUUAUUGCAGCUUUACGUACUUGGCUUGUUGUUUGGCACGGCUUAGAUGUAGCUCGUGUAAUGUUUGGAGUUGCGUUUUGGGUACGUUGCGUUUCCAUUUGGGAAUUAUAUGUAGCAGUUGAGUUUGUAGCUUUUGGACCGGCUGAUGUUCUUCCAUUGCCGUUUGAGCUGCAACUGGUGUUGCUACGCUUUUCUGCAUUUUGUUUUCAAUUCCAUUGCCCUUUUUUUAUUCGUUUUUCUUAUGUAAAUUGUUAUGGUUUCAUAUGUAAUGGAUAAUGGCUAUUAUGGAUUAACUAAUUGAAUUAUGGUUUUAA